rnacentral:rRNA from 1 species
UCAUUACAUGAAUCAUUACUUACCCGAACACCAACUCACAACUGGAUAACCGUUGUAAUUCAAGGGCUAAUCAUGUAUCAAGAAGCGUUUAGUAACAGACGCUUGCAUUUGUUAGUCUCAAACCAACAUUUACAUGUGGUGAAUCAUGACAAAUUGCGGAUCCUCAUGUUGCAAAAGACGGAGGACGACUCGGUCAGGUCUUUCCCCUAUCAGUUUUCGUAGGAAAUGUAUUGAAUUUUCUAGACUUUGACGGGUAGCGGAAAAUGAGGGUUUGAUUCCGGAGAAGGAGCCUGAGAGACGGCUACUACAUCUAAGGAAGGCAGCAGGCGCGCAAAUUUCCCAAUGCUCAUCGAGCGAGGAAGUGACGAUCAAUAACAAUGUGCGAUGUUUUAUGCAUUGUGCAAUUGGAAUGACUACAAUGUAGAGAGUUUAAGGAGGAUCAAUU